AACACAAUUAUAGAAAUGGGCAAGCACCUGAAUAGACACGUCUCCAAGGAGGACAUACAGAUGGCCAAAAGACAU